rnacentral:rRNA from 1 species
CCCUUAGAUGUUCUGGGCUGCACGCGCGCUACACUGAAGCGUUCAACGAGUAUUCACCUUGCCCGGGAGGGUUGGGUAAUCUUUUGAAAACGCUUCGUGAUGGGGAUAGAUUAUUGCAAUUAUUAAUCUUCAACGAGGAAUUCCUAGUAAGCGCGAGUCAUCAGCUCGUGCUGAUUACGUCCCUGCCCUUUGUACACACCGCCCGUCGCUCCUACCGAUUGAGUGGUCCGGUGAGGCUUUGGGAUCUAAGCGGAAAGAGCGUUUCGCUGUUUCUGCUCGGAAAACUCAGUCGAACCUUAUCAUUUAGAGGAAGGAGAAGUCGUAACA